GGAGUUAGCCGGUGCUUCUUCUGUGAGUGAUGUCCUUCCUGCCGGCUAUUAACCCGCAGGCCUUCUUCCUCACUGAAAGUGCUUUACAACCCGAAGGCCUUCUUCACACACGCGGCAUGGCUGGAUCAGGGUUGCCCCCAUUGUCCAAUAUUCCCCACUGCUGCCUCCCGUAGGAGUCUGGGCCGUGUCUCAGUCCCAGUGUGGCUGAUCAUCCUCUCAGACCAGCUACGGAUCGUCGCCUUGGUGAGCCGUUACCUCACCAACCAGCUAAUCCGACAUAGGCUCAUCCGAUAGCGCGAGGCCCGAAGGUCCCCCGCUUUCCCCCGUAGGGCGUAUGCGGUAUUAGCCUGGGGUUUCCCCAGGGUUAUCCCCCACUACCGGGCAGAUUCCUAUGCAUUACUCACCCGUCCGCCGCUCGCCACCAGGGAGCAAGCUCCCCGUGCUGCCGCUCGACUUGCAUGUGUUAGGCCUGCCGCCAGCGUUCAAUCUGAACCAAGAUCAAAUUCUGA
rnacentral:rRNA from 1 species